GGCCCGGUAGUCCAGUGGUUAGCACGUCGGCUUCACAGUGCAGAGGUACCGGGUUCGAUUCCAGCUGCGGCCUCCCUGUGUGGAGUUUGCAUGUUCUCCCCGAGCCUGCGUGGGUUUUCUCCGGGUGCUCCGGUUUCCUCCCACAUUCCAAAAACAUGCGUGGCAGGCUGAUUGAACACUCUAAAUUGUCCCGAGGUGUGAGUGUGAGCGUGGAUGGUUGUUCGUCUCUGUGUGCCCUGUGAUUGGCUGGCAACCGAUUCAGGGUGUCCCCCGCCUACUGCCCGGAGACGGCUGGGAUAGGCUCCAGCACCCCCCGCGACCCUAGUGAGGAUCAAGCGGUUUGGAAGAUGAAUGAAUGAAUGAAUA